GUUCUGUGCAUUUUAAUGGAGUUCGCCAAACAUUCUGAGCAGUGUACCGGGUCGAGCCCUCACCAUGGACACUUCCAAGCCAACAUUACAAUAAUAACUUAUUAAAAAUAUAAUAUUAUUUUAUACUACAGCAAUUGCAUGACGUUUGCAAACAAAUGUUUUCAGGUUUUAAAUAUUAUCACAAUCCGAAACAUUCGAGAACACGCAUACCGUUAUUUCUCUAAUAAUUUUUUUGGGGGGAAAGGGGGGUGUUGCUAAUAUAUACAAAGAUUCGUUUGCAUGCUUAAUUCUCUUUAAAUAUGCAACAUCGGGUGCUGUGAAUAUCAGUAAAAUAUCAUAAUGAUCUUUCAAAUACAAUACUUUCACACCUCACGAUUUUAUACAUUAAUUGCUUACAAGAGGGGGGGAUUAAAGAGGGGAUGGGGAAGGGUGCUAAAUAGAGAAAUUACGAUAUACAAUAAAUACGCAUUACUCGGUAUUCACAAUCUUAUUUCUUUUAUAAAUCUUUUCCCGUCAAUUUUUUUCCAAGUUCCUUGUUUAUUUUUUUCUUUGCAUCUAAUCCCGUUGGUAAGAAAGAACGGAGGUUAACACCACGCUGACAGAACUUCAUUACGAAUCUGUUUUUGAAUCAACCAAUUUCGUCUUCAAACACUCGUGUUACGUUGUUAAUCAUGCCAACUGUUCGUCACUCUGUCCACUCAGAAAGUCGUCUUUAUCACGAACGCCUUUUCGCCAAUCCAAUUUGGGCAAUCAUCAUGCUCAGUUUAAAAAAAAAACAAAGAAGAAGGAAACAGCUUAGUAGGACAUAGGAGGUUAUGUUACACAACAGCAUUGCGUGGCGUUCGCAAUCUAAUUGUAAUAACUUACACAUACGACGCGCGCAUACCAAGAGAAAGGGAGUUUCAGUAUUAUCUCAUUAGCAUUAACAGCCUUUCCGCAACACACUUUCGAUUCGCUCUCAAGUAAAUUUAAAAUAUGUUAUCCAACAGUAUUAAGACGAAAAAUGGAACAAGAGCAACAGAUUACCUGACUCAGACUGAGUAAUUGGUUCUUCAUCAAAACAUCACUGCUUUCCGACCCUGAAAUCUAAUCCAUUAGUAAGGAAGAUCGGAGGUUGACU
rnacentral:lncRNA from 1 species